rnacentral:rRNA from 1 species
UGAGGAAUAUUGGGCAAUGCCCGCAAGGGUGACCCAGCAACGCCGCGUGGAGGAUGAAUGUCGUAAGAUUGUAAACUCCUGUUAGAGGGGAAGAAUAGUACCGGUUGGACCGGUAUAUGACUGUACCCUCAGAGAAAGCCCCGGCUAACUACGUGCCAGCAGCCGCGGUAAUACGUAGGGGGCAAGCGUUGUCCGGAUUUACUGGGUGUAAAGGGCGCGCAGGCGGGAUAAAAAGUCAGUGGUGAAAUCCUACAGCUUAACUGUAGAACUGCCUUUGAUACUUUUAUUCUUGAGUUCGGGAGAGAGAGACGGAAUUCCUGGUGUAGUGGUGAAAUACGUAGAUAUCUGGAAGAACACCAGUGGCGAAGGCGGUCUCUUGGUCCGACACUGACGCUGAGGUGCGAAAGCGUGGGGAGCAAACA